UAGGUGUAAAAAAGACUUCUAAUCUUUAAAUAGCAUAACGCUACACUUAC
rnacentral:tRNA from 1 species